GCAGCUCACGACAAUAGUGUAAGUACAUGGCAAAUUCUGCAGGAAACCCCUGACACAAAACUUCAACAGGAGUGGACAUCUUCUUUUCACUAAUCUUUUCAUAUUUUUGUUUCUUUGUUGCAGCCUUUAAAUGAAAAAAAACCUGAGGACU